rnacentral:rRNA from 1 species
UACGAAGGGGGCUAGCGUUGCUCGGAAUCACUGGGCGUAAAGGGUGCGUAGGCGGGGCUUUAAGUCAGGGGUGAAAUCCUGGAGCUCAACUCCGGAACUGCCUUUGAUACUGAAGAUCUUGAGUUCGGGAGAGGUGAGUGGAACUGCGAGUGUAGAGGUGAAAUUCGUAGAUAUUCGCAAGAACACCAGUGGCGAAGGCGGCUCACUGGCCCGAUACUGACGCUGAGGCACGAAAGCGUGGGGAGCAAACAGG